AGUGAACGCUGGCGGUAGGCCUAACACAUGCAAGUCGAACGGCAGCACAGUAAGAGCUUGCUCUUACGGGUGGCGAGUGGCGGACGGGUGAGGAAUACAUCGGAAUCUACUUUUUCGUGGGGGAUAACGUAGGGAAACUUACGCUAAUGCCGCAUACGACCUACGGGUGAAGGCAGGGGAUCUUCGGACCUUGCGCGAUUGAAUGAGCCGAUGUCGGAUUAGCUAGUUGGCGGGGUAAAGGCCCACCAAGGCGACGAUCCGUAGCUGGUCUGAGAGGAUGAUCAGCCACACUGGAACUGAGACACGGUCCAGACUCCUACGGGAGGCAGCAGUGGGGAAUAUUGGACAAUGGGCGCAAGCCUGAUCCAGCCAUACCGCGUGGGUGAAGAAGGCCUUCGGGUUGUAAAGCCCUUUUGUUGGGAAAGAAAAGCAGCAGGUUAAUACCCCGCUGUUCUGACGGUACCCAAAGAAUAAGCACCGGCUAACUUCGUG
rnacentral:rRNA from 1 species